rnacentral:rRNA from 1 species
AUUGAACGCUGGCGGCAGGCCUAACACAUGCAAGUCGAGCGAGCGGCGGACGGGUGAGUAAUGUCUGGGAAACUGCCUGAUGGAGGGGGAUAACCACUGGAAACGGUAGCUAAUACCCCAUACCAUCAGAUGUGCCCAGUUGGGAUUAGGUAGUAGGUGGGGUAACGGCUCACCUAGGCGACGAUCCCUAGCUGGUCUGGGAGGAUAACCAGCAACACUGGAACUGAGAAACGGUCCCGACGCCUACGGGAGGCAGCAGUGGGGAAUAUUGCACAAUGGGCGCAAGCCUGAUGCAGCCAUGCCGCGUGUGUGAAGAAGGCCUUCGGGUUGUAAAGCACUUUCAGCGGGGAGGCGUUACCCGCAGAAGAAGCACCGGCUAACUCCGUGCCAGCCGCCGCGGUAAUUC